AUCCCAGGCCACACUGUCCUGCGAGUGCCCGGUCAUGUCAGAUCUUGGAAGCUUAUCACGACCCAGCCCGGUUAGUACUUGAAUAGGAGGCCGCAUUAGAAGACCAAGGGCCGUUA
rnacentral:rRNA from 12 species